AGAGUUUGUUUCUGGCUCAGGAUGAACGCCGGCGGUGUGCCUAAUACAUGCAAGUCGUACGCACUGGCCCAACUGAUUGAUGGUGCUUGCACCUGAUUGACGAUGAAUCACCAGUGAGUGGCGGACGGGUGAGUAACACGUAGGUAACCUGCCUCGGAGCGGGGGAUAACAUUUGGAAACAGAUGCUAAUACCGCAUAACAACAAAAGCCACAUGGCUUUUGUUUGAAAGAUGGCUUUGGCUAUCACUCUGGGAUGGACCUGCGGUGCAUUAGCUAGUUGGUAAGGUAACGGCUUACCAAGGCAAUGAUGCAUAGCCGAGUUGAGAGACUGAUCGGCCACAAUGGAACUGAGACACGGUCCAUACUCCUACGGGAGGCAGCAGUAGGGAAUCUUCCACAAUGGGCGCAAGCCUGAUGGAGCAACACCGCGUGAGUGAAGAAGGGUUUCGGCUCGUAAAGCUCCGUUGUUGGAGAAGAACGUGCGUGAGAGUAACUGUUCACGCAGUGACGGUAUCCAACCAGAAAGUCACGGCUAACUACGUGCCAGCAGCCGCGGUAAUACGUAGGUGGCAAGCGUUAUCCGGAUUUAUUGGGCGUAAAGCGAGCGCAGGCGGUUGCUUAGGUCUGAUGUGAAAGCCUUCGGCUUAACCGAAGAAGUGCAUCGGAAACCUGGCGACUUGAGUGCAGAAGAGGACAGUGGAACUCCAUGUGUAGCGGUGGAAUGCGUAGAUAUAUGGAAGAACACCAGUGGCGAAGGCGGCUGUCUGGUCUGCAACUGACGCUGAGGCUCGAAAGCAUGGGUAGCGAACAGGAUUAGAUACCCUGGUAGUCCAUGCCGUAAACGAUGAGU
rnacentral:rRNA from 1 species